AUACGGAGGGUGCAAGCGUUACUCGGAAUCACUGGGCGUAAAGCGCGCGCAGGCGGCUAUUUAAGUUGGAUGUGAAAGCCUACGGCUCAACCGUAGAACUGCAUCCAAAACUAUUUAGCUAGAGUGGGGGAGAGGAAGAUGGAAUUAGUUGUGUAGGGGUAAAAUCCGUAGAGAUAACUAGGAAUACCAAAAGCGAAGGCAAUCUUCUGGAACACUACUGACGCUGAGACGCGAAAGCGUGGGGAGCAAACAGGAGUAGAAACCCUAGUAGUCC
rnacentral:rRNA from 1 species